rnacentral:rRNA from 1 species
UACGGAGGGAGCUAGCGUUGUCCGGAUUUACUGGGCGUAAAGCGCGCGUAGGCGGCUUUGUAAGUUAGAGGUGAAAGCCCGGGGCUCAACCCCGGAACAGCCUUUAAGACUGCAUCGCUAGAAUCCGGGAGAGGUGAGUGGAAUUCCGAGUGUAGAGGUGAAAUUCGUAGAUAUUCGGAAGAACACCAGUGGCGAAGGCGGCUCACUGGACCGGCAUUGACGCUGAGGUGCGAAAGCGUGGGGAGCAAACAGG